rnacentral:rRNA from 1 species
UACGUAGGGUCCGAGCGUUGUCCGGAUUUAUUGGGCGUAAAGAGCUCGUAGGCGGUUCCGUAAGUCAGAUGUGAAAACUCAGGGCUCAACCCGGAGACGCCAUCUGAUACUGCGGUGACUGGAGUCUGGUAGGGGAUCACGGAAUACCUGGUGUAGCGGUGAAAUGCGCAGAUAUCAGGAGGAACACCGGUGGCGAAGGCGGAUCUCUGGGCCUUACCUGACGCUCAGGCACGAAAGCUAGGGGAGCGAACAGG